GACGAACGCUGGCGGCGUGCUUAACACAUGCAAGUCGAACGGAAAGGCCCUGCUUUUGUGGGGUGCUCGAGUGGCGAACGGGUGAGUAACACGUGAGUAACCUGCCCUUGACUUUGGGAUAACUUCAGGAAACUGGGGCUAAUACCGGAUAGGAGCUCCUGCUGCAUGGUGGGGGUUGGAAAGUUACGGCGGUGGGGGAUGGACUCGCGGCUUAUCAGCUUGUUGGUGGGGUAGUGGCUUACAAAGGCUUUGACGGGUAGCCGGCCUGAGAGGGUGACCGGCCACAAUGGGACUGAGAUACGGCCCAGACGCCUACGGGAGGCAGCAGGGGGGAAUAUUGCACAAUGGGCGGAAGCCUGAUGCAGCAACGCCGCGUGCGGGAUGACGGCCUUCGGGUUGUAAACCGCUUUCGCCUGUGACGAAGCGUGAGUGACGGUAAUGGGUAAAGAAGCACCGGCUAACUACGUG
rnacentral:rRNA from 1 species